AUUGAACGCUAGCGGCAGGCCUAACACAUGCAAGUCGAACGAGUGGCGGACGGGUGAGUACUGUCUGGGAAACUGCCUGAUGGAGGGGGAUAACUACUGGAAACGGUAGCUAAUACCGCAUACCCUCGGCUGUCCCCGAAUGGGAUUAGCUAGUGGGUGGGGUAAAGGCUCACCUAGGCGACGAUCCCUAGCUGGUCUGAGAGGAGGACCAGCCACACUGGAACUGAGACACGGUCCAGACUCCUACGGGAGGCAGCAGUGGGGAAUAUUGCACAAUGGGCGAAAGCCUGAUGCAGCCAUGCCGCGUGUAUGAAGAAGGCCUUCGGGUUGUAAAGUACUUUCAGCGGGGAGGCGUUACCCGCAGAAGAAGCACCGGCUAACUCCGUGCCAGCAGCCGCGGUAAUUC
rnacentral:rRNA from 1 species